UGGGGAAUUUUGGACAAUGGGCGAAAGCCUGAUCCAGCAAUGCCGCGUGUGUGAAGAAGGCCUUCGGGUUGUAAAGCACUUUUGUCCGGAAAGAAAUCCUUGGCUCUAAUACAGUCGGGGGAUGACGGUACCGGAAGAAUAAGCACCGGCUAACUACGUGCCAGCAGCCGCGGUAAUACGUAGGGUGCAAGCGUUAAUCGGAAUUACUGGGCGUAAAGCGUGCGCAGGCGGUUUGCUAAGACCGAUGUGAAAUCCCCGGGCUCAACCUGGGAACUGCAUUGGUGACUGGCAGGCUAGAGUAUGGCAGAGGGGGGUAGAAUUCCACGUGUAGCAGUGAAAUGCGUAGAGAUGUGGAGGAAUACCGAUGGCGAAGGCAGCCCCCUGGGCCAAUACUGACGCUCAUGCACGAAAGCGUGGGGAGCAAACAGGAUUAGAUACCCUGGUAGUCCACGCCCUAAACGAUGUCAACUAGUUGUUGGGGAUUCAUUUCCUUAGUAACGUAGCUAGCGCGUGAAGUUGACCGCCUGGGGAGUACGGUCGCAAGAUUAAAACUUAAAGGAAUUGACGGGGUCAUAGCUGUUCCU
rnacentral:rRNA from 1 species